CAAAACUGAUCCAAAAAAUACCCCUCCUUCUCCCCGUCUCUCUCUCCAUCGCUUUUCUACGCAAUUCGCCCGUCAACGUGCAAGCCCUAGCGCCGCUCUUCCUCCUCUACAUCUCCAGGUCGUAUUUUGAUGCCACCCUCGAUUUCAGCGUUCCAUCGAUACUGCAAUCCAUCUAGAAGAAGAGGACUCAAUCCAGAUGAGGAGGUGUAUCCACAAUAAUUUGAAGAGAAGAGGAUGACAACAAUACUUGAGGCUGCCAAGUGGAGGAAUUAUGUUGGAGUGGUGGUGGCAGCCAACUCACACUCUAAAUCCAAUUCGAGUUUGUCUCCCAGCAAUCCCCUGCACCUCUCUUUACCAGAUUAUACGUUAGGGGAGGGGAUGAGAACCAGCAGGGGUGGUCUGCAAUGCCUAAAGUGGAAGCCUGCACGGGCAUGCCUGCGAUGAGGAUGAUAUUUGGUUGGGUGCAGUGAUAGCAUGAGCUUGAGAGCGCCCAACUCCUCCAUCAAUCCCUGCUGUUAAGGCCAGCUCCUUAAUGCUCCUACAGGUCCCGUUUGGCUACUAUAUACAGUCCAGGGUCAAUAUAUCGGGACAAUCAGGAAGGCCGUAUCAUAUUUGCGCUUUGUUUGAUGUUUUCUUGGUCUGCGCACAUGCUUUUGAAAUAGUUCCCAUCAUGUCAUAGCAAUGAGCUUUGUACAAGGCAGAAAUAAGUUUGUGAUCAAGCAAAGAAAGUGAAUACAUUUACUGAAAAAUAUAUGUGUGUAUCCUGCGAAUUACUUUGAUUAGAAGUCAUAUCAAUCUCAUCUUAUUACCAACUAAGUUUUGAAACAUAUGUAUUUUUUGUAUCUUUGGAGCUCUUGCCUUCUGUACGUACUGAGGUAACAAAUUUGUAAUGUUCAGGACAUGAUGCGACGCUCCAAACAACUCAUCAUAGUAGUUAGCAAAUCAUUGUAUAUUGUCAGUUAUGCACUUAAUCUUCUCUUCAUAUAUAAUACUACUACUAUAUUGGGGAAAAGGCAUCACGUUUCUCUCUCUUUCUGUUGAUAGGAAUGUUGAGUUUUGAUAUUAGUCUUCAGGAUUGCAUGGUCUCAUUAUCUUCAGCAAAAGAUGUUUAUAUUAGUGGUACAUCAACGACAAACUCACAAGGACUGCCUUGGCGAGAGCUACUCAUGGGCGCAUAUGUUCCAGUACACAGCCAGAGCCAUUCAGGUAAUAAAGGUAAUGCAAUGGCAUCAUGUAGUGUAUACUGGAGUAGUACAUAGUUAUAUUUGAUUAUAUUUUCUGGACACAACCAAGACAGCGGCAAUGUAGUCUCGGCUAAUGCUUCUAUUUAAUUAGUUUUCUGCACAAUGCUUAUGCAUAACUGUAUGGAACAACUGAUUGGUCAGAACAGACAACAACAUAUUUAAAUUGGCCAGAAAUUUGUAUCCAAACAAAGGAGGAGCUAUCCUUAUGGACAAAGUUACCAUAUUUGCCUUAGUACAUAUGUACGCCAUAUAUCUGAUUUUUGUAUAGUCAAGUGUUAAGUGAUUAAAUAUACAUCUUACACCAAAAUAUUUAAGAAUCCCCAGCUCAAAAUAUUAUUUUUUAUACAUAAAUUCAUGAUUGACCAUAGGCAUAUAUAAUAAAUUCAAGGCAUAUAUCCAACGUUAUGGAAAUAAAGGGAAAUAUAACAAAGAGCAAAAUCAGACAUUCAAUUUAGUAUCAUUCGGCUUCAGUAUUGAGAGCAAUAAAGUUAGGGUAACUAUCCAUUCUUAAUGGAAUAAAUUAGUCGUGCAGCGCAGGUAAAUUAAACAAAUUUGUUUCUAUGAUAAGGGAAUCACCUAUAUUACCAAUAUGACAAUGUGCAUGUGUUUGUGCUCCGGGACGAAAAGAUGAAAGGAAAUGAUUGCCCUCUCAUCUUGAUAUAAUUAUAUGCCAUUUCAUGGAUUGAGAUAAAAUAUGUCCAACAAAGUUGUGGCUGAUAAAAUAUUUUUCAUUAAGAAACAUAGAAAACAUGAGAUCAGAAUUGCUUACUGUCUUUGCAAACUACCAGACCCAAAGAAAGUGUUUAAUUUCAUCCGACCUCACGAUUUGUUACAAUUAAACUUAGAUUCCUCUAUAUAUUUUGAAAAUUAAUAGAUACAUAGUUUCAAAAGAAAUAACACAUAAAAUGAACUUCACAUUUGCAAAUAUGAUGCCCACCAAUACUUCUUCAUAUUAAUGUGAACUACAUAUCAUACUUGAGAAUUAUGAGCCAUGGGACGUCUGAAAUGCAAGUGAUCUAAUCAUAACUUGAUCGAGACAAUUCAUGCAAAUCAUCUAAUCGUAACUUGAUCAAGAGAAUUCAAGCAAAUUAUCUAAUCAUAACUUGAUCAAACAAUGGUAAUACCCCUUUCCCUGAGUUCACUAAUCAAUCAUAUUCCAUGUUUCAAAUAUUAUUAUAAUUGACCUUAAAUUGUACUACUUCUUAUAAUGUCAUGAAUCGUAAAUAUUAAAUAUCCACUAGCUCGUGCUGGUGCACGGGUUGACGACUAGUAUAAAAUAAUUUAAAUAUAUAUAAUAUAGUUAGAAGGGAAACAUAAGUUGGACCUGGCAUUCCUAUUCUUAUAUAGAAAAAUAGAACAGACCUCUGUGUUUUCUUCAAAAAAAUACAUAAAUUGAGCUGCAAAAAAUAAAACCUCGGAUGGGAGGUCCAUAGGCCGGUCGAUACAUGACGGCCCUA